rnacentral:rRNA from 1 species
AUUGAACGCUGGCGGCAGGCCUAACACAUGCAAGUCGAGCGGAGCGGCGGACGGGUGAGGAAUGCCUAGGAAUCUGCCUGGUCGUGGGGGAUAACGUCCGGAACCGGGCGCUAUUACCGCAUACUAUGAGAUUAGCCUAGGUCGGUUUGGCUGGUUGGUGGGGGAAAGGCCUUCCAGGGCGACGAUCCGUAACGUGUCUGAGAGGAUGAUCAGUCACACUGGAACUGAGACACGGUCCAGACUCCUACGGGAGGCAGCAGUGGGGAAUGUUGGACAAUGGGCGAAAGCCUGAUCCAGCCAUGCCGCGUGUGUGAAGAAGGUCUUCGGAUUGUAAAGCACUUUAAGUUGGGAGGCGUUACCAACAGAAUAAGCACCGGCUAACUUCGUGCCAGCAGCCGCGGUAAUAC